rnacentral:rRNA from 1 species
AGUGAACGCUGGCGGUAGGCCUAACACAUGCAAGUCGAACGGCAGCACAGUAAGAGCUUGCUCUUACGGGUGGCGAGUGGCGGACGGGUGAGGAAUACAUCGGAAUCUACUUUUUCGUGGGGGAUAACGUAGGGAAACUUACGCUAAUACCGCAUACGACCUACGGGUGAAAGCAGGGGAUCUUCGGACCUUGCGCGAUUGAAUGAGCCGAUGUCGGAUUAGCUAGUUGGCGGGGUAAAGGCCCACCAAGGCGACGAUCCGUAGCUGGUCUGAGAGGAUGAUCAGCCACACUGGAACUGAGACACGGUCCAGACUCCUACGGGAGGCAGCAGUGGGGAAUAUUGGACAAUGGGUGCAAGCCUGAUCCAGCCAUACCGCGUGGGUGAGGAAGGCCUUCGGGUUGUAAAGCCCUUUUGUUGGGAAAGAAAAGCAGCAGGUUAAUACCCCGCUGUUCUGACGGUACCCAAAGAAUAAGCACCGGCUAACUUCGUG